GACGAACGCUGGCGGCGUGCUAAACACAUGCAAGUCGAACGGUAAGGCCCUUCGGGGUACACGAGUGGCGAACGGGUGAAUAACACGUGGGUGAUCUGCCCUGCACUUCGGGAUAAGCCUGGGAAACUGGGUCUAAUACCGGAUAGGACUCCGGACUGCAUGGUCUGGGGUGGAAAGCUUUUGCGGUGUGGGAUGGGCCCGCGGCCUAUCAGCUUGUUGGCGGGGUGAUGGCCUACCAAGGCGACGACGGGUAGCCGGCCUGAGAGGGUGACCGGCCACACUGGGACUGAGAUACGGCCCAGACUCCUACGGGAGGCAGCAGUGGGGAAUAUUGCACAAUGGGCGCAAGCCUGAUGCAGCGACGCCGCGUGAGGGAUGACGGCCUUCGGGUUGUAAACCUCUUUCAGCAUCGACGAAGCGAAAGUGACGGUAGGUGCAGAAGAAGGACCGGCCAAUUACGUGCCAGCCGCCGCCGUAA
rnacentral:rRNA from 1 species